GAUGAACGCUGGCGGCGUGCCUAAUACAUGCAAGUCGAGCGAACGGACGAGAAGCUUGCUUCUCUGAUGUUGGCGGCGGACGGGUGAGUAACACGUGGAUAACCUACCUAUAAGACUGGGAUAACUUCGGGAAACCGGAGCUAAUACCGGAUGAUAUUUUGAACCGCAUGGUUCAAAAGUGAAAGACGGUCUUGCUGUCACUUAUAGAUGGAUCCGCGCUGCAUUAGCUAGUUGGUAAGGUAACGGCUUACCAAGGCAACGAUGCAUAGCCGACCUGAGAGGGUGAUCGGCCACACUGGAACUGAGACACGGUCCAGACUCCUACGGGAGGCAGCAGUAGGGAAUCUUCCGCAAAGGGCGAAAGCCUGACGGAGCAACGCCGCGUGAGUGAUGAAGGUCUUCGGAUCGUAAAACUCUGUUAUUAGGGAAGAACAUAUGUGUAAGUAACUGUGCACAUCUUGACGGUACCUAAUCAGAAAGCCACGGCUAACUACGUG
rnacentral:rRNA from 1 species